ensembl:lncRNA LINC02371 long intergenic non-protein coding RNA 2371
AGGCCUGAGAUUUUUGUCCUUGCUGGAAUUUUUGGAGGAUUUUAGCUGCGGAUCUAGAUCCAUUAGAAGGUGGUGACAUCCAUUUGGUCGGUUAUGACUAACCCUUAGAAGAAUAGCAUAGCGCAGCACAGCACAACAGAAACUAUCAGAAUGCAUCAAAUGUCACAAAGGCUCUCCUACCAGGAUGACAAAAAUCGGCAACUGAUGCUCCCAGAGGAGGACAAGAGGGACAUCCGGCAAUCUCCAAAGAGGGGUUUCCUCCGCUCUGCCUCACUAGGUCAAAGAGCCUCCUUCCACCUGGAAUGUCUGAAGUGACAGAAGGACCGAGGGGGAGACAUCUCUCAGAAGACAGUCCUGCCCUUGCAUCUGGUUCAUCAUCAGUUCAUGGAGGGACGUGUUCAGCUCACUCACCUACAGUGACCAGUGUGGUGGAGCCGCUGACAUCUCAAAGAUCUAUUUGGGAAGAUCUCACUCUGACGCCCAGGCUGGAGUGCUGUGGUGUGAUCUCACUCACUACAACCUCUGCCUCCAGGGUUUGAGUAAUUCUCCCAUCUCAACCUCCCGAGUAGCUGGGACUACAGGCAUGCUCCACCAUGCCUGGCUAAUUUUUUUAUUAUUUUUUUUAUUAUACUUUAAGUUCUGGAAUACAUGUGCAGAACGUGCAGGUUUGUUACAAAGGUAUACACAUGCCAUGGUGGUUUGCUGCACCCAUUAACCUGUCAUCUACAUUAGGUAUUUCUCAUAAUGGUAUCCCUUCUUUAGCUCCCCCACCCCCAGACUGGCCCGGUGUGUGAUGUUCCUCUCCCCGUGUCCAUGUGUUCUCAUUGUUCAACUCCCGCUUGUGAGUGAGAACAUGCGGUGUUUGGUUUUUUGUUCCUGUGUUAGUUUGCUGAAAAUGAUGGCUUCCAGCUUCAUCCAUGUCCCUGCAAAGGACAUUAACUCAUCCUUUUUUAUGGCUACAUAGUAUUUUAAAGUGUACAUGUGCCACAUUGUCUUUAUCCAGUCUAUCAUACAUGGGCAUUUGGGUUGGUUCCAAGUCUUUGCUAUUGUGAAUAGUGCUGCAAUAAACAUACGUGUGCAUGUGUCUUUAAAGUA